GAUGAACGCUAGCGGCAGGCUUAAUACAUGCAAGUCGAGGGACAGCACAGGUAGCAAUACUGGGUGGUAACCGGCAAACGGGUGCGGAACACGUACACAACCUUCCUUUAAGUGGGGGAUAGCCCAGAGAAAUUUGGAUUAAUACCCCGUAAUAUAGUUGAAUGGCAUCAUUUGAUUAUUAUAGCUACGGCGCUUAAUGAUGGGUGUGCGGCUGAUUAGAUAGUUGGCGGGGUAACGGCCCACCAAGUCUACGAUCAGUAGCUGAUGUGAGAGCAUGGUCAGCCACACGGGCACUGGGACACGGGCCCGACUCCUACGGGAGGCAGCAGUAAGGAAUAUUGGUCAAUGGACGCGAGUCUGAACCAGCCAUGCCGAGUGAAGGAUUAAGGUCCUCUGGAUUGUAAACUUCUUUUAUUUGGGACGAAAAAGGGCCUUUCUAGGUCAACUGACGGUACCAGAUGAAUAAGCACCGGCUAACUCCGUGCCAGCCGCCGCCGUAACAC
rnacentral:rRNA from 1 species